rnacentral:rRNA from 1 species
GUAGCAAGGUUAACCGCAUAGGGGAGCCGUAGGGAAACCGAGUCUUAACUGGGCGAAGAGUUGCAAGGUAUAGACCCGAAACCCGGUGAUCUAGCCAUGGGCAGGUUGAAGGUUGGGUAACACCACCUGGAGGACCGAACCGACUAAUGUUGAAAAAUUAGCGGAUGACCUGUGGCUGGGGGUGAAAGGCCAAUCAAACCGGGAGAUAGCUGGUUCUCCCCGAAAGCUAUUUAGGUAGCGCCUCGUGAAUUCAUCUACAGGGGUAGAGCACUGUUUUGGCUAGGGGGCCAUCCCGGCUUACCAAUCCAAUGCAAACUCCGAAUACUGUAGAAUGUUAUCACGGGAGACACACAGCGGGUGCUAACGUUCGUUGUGGAGAGGGAAACAACCCAGACCGCCAGCUAAGGUCCCAAAGUCAUAGUUAAGUGGGAAACGAUGUGGGAAGGCAUAAACAGCCAGGAUGUUGGCUUAGAAGCAGCCAUCAUUUAAAGAAAGCGUAAUAGCUCACUGGUCGAGUCGGCCUGCGCGGAAGAUGUAACGGGGCUAAGCGAUACACCGAAGCUGCGGCAAUGCGAUUUAUCGUAUUGGGUAGGGGAGCGUUGUGUAAGCCGUUGAAGGUGUGCUGAGAGGCAUGCUGGAGGUAUCACAAGUGCGAAUGCUGACAUGAGUAACGAUAAAGGGGGUGAAAAACCUCCUCGCCGGAAGACCAAGGGUUCCUGUCCAACGUUAAUCGGGGCAGGGUAAGUCGGCCCCUAAGGCGAGGCCGAA